rnacentral:rRNA from 1 species
AGAGUUUGAUUCUGGCUCAGGACGAACGCUGGCGGCGUGCUUAACACAUGCAAGUCGAACGAUGAAGCCUAGCUUGCUAGGUGGAUUAGUGGCGAACGGGUGAGUAAUACGUGAGUAACCUACCUUUAACUCUGGGAUAAGCCUGGGAAACUGGGUCUAAUACCGGAUACGACCAAUCUCCGCAUGGGGUGUUGGUGGAAAGCGUUAUGUAGUGGUUAUAGAUGGGCUCACGGCCUAUCAGCUUGUUGGUGAGGUAACGGCUCACCAAGGCGACGACGGGUAGCCGGCCUGAGAGGGUGACCGGCCACACUGGGACUGAGACACGGCCCAGACUCCUACGGGAGGCAGCAGUGGGGAAUAUUGCACAAUGGGCGCAAGCCUGAUGCAGCGACGCCGCGUGAGGGAUGACGGCCUUCGGGUUGUAAACCUCUGUUAGCAGGGAAGAAGAGAGAUUGACGGUACCUGCAGAGAAAGCGCCGGCUAACUACGUGCCAGCAGCCGCGGUAAUACGUAGGGCGCGAGCGUUGUCCGGAAUUAUUGGGCGUAAAGAGCUUGUAGGCGGUUUGUCGCGUCUGCUGUGAAAGGCCGGGGCUUAACUCCGUGUAUUGCAGUGGGUACGGGCAGACUAGAGUGCAGUAGGGGAGACUGGAAUUCCUGGUGUAGCGGUGGAAUGCGCAGAUAUCAGGAGGAACACCGAUGGCGAAGGCAGGUCUCUGGGCUGUAACUGACGCUGAGAAGCGAAAGCAUGGGGAGCGAACAGGAUUAGAUACCCUGGUAGUCCAUGCCGUAAACGUUGGGCACUAGGUGUGGGGGACAUUCCACGUUUUCCGCGCCGUAGCUAACGCAUUAAGUGCCCCGCCUGGGGAGUACGGCCGCAAGGCUAAAACUCAAAG